AAAAAGGCAAACCAUAAGUUUACGUGUCCAACUUUGACUAUCCGUCUUAUAUAAAUUUUUUUUAUAAUUCGUAUUUUCAUUGUUGUUAGAUGAUAAAACAUGGUUAAUAUUUUAUGCGUGACUUGUCUUUUUAAUUUUUUUCGUAUUUUUUUCAAAUAAGACGAAUGGUCAAACGUUGGACACGGAAACCAGGGUUUGUCUUUUU
rfam:Oryza sativa Japonica Group DNA, chromosome 1, cultivar: Nipponbare, complete sequence.